rnacentral:lncRNA from 1 species
CGGCUCCCGGCUCCGGGAAAGACCUUCUGUUCUCUGCCGGCGCGGAGGGCCGCAGGAACCAGGCCUCUCGCCUCCCCACCAGCUAGGCAGGGAGCGCCCAUCUCCUGAAAAAUUACUUCCUGGGAAGCGGUGCGGGGAGACAGCUUCAAUUGCUUUCGGUUGGUGAAAAACGAAUUCGCUUCUCAGAUUGCUCUCCUAGCUGCCAGGCUCUGACGUUGAGAGGCCGGCUUUCAGCCUCGCGGCUGGACCUUCCACAAGUGUUUGCACAUGACCUGGAAGACAGUCAGAGGCAGAAGUCCCUGCAAAUGCUCCUGGCUACUUCCUGCAGGCAGCUCAUGCUGCUGCAGCAGAAGACUUUCCUAUGUCUAGCUGCCAGUAUUCUGGGUGCUGGGGGCAUCCUGUUCCUAGGAUCACAGCCAUGGUGGUAUGUUCUAGAACUCAGAAAUUUACCAAAUCACUGGAUGGACCAGAGGAGUGAGCUCCAGGUUGGGUUUCCAGAAGGGACUCCCAGAACUCUUCCACCAUACAGGCCUCUCAGGGAGCUGCUCCCUCUGCCAUGGUCAGUGAGAGGGGGAAGCAGGAGCCGCCAUUGGGGUUGUUGAGUUCGUGGCUGCAACCCAGGGAUGAGGAAGCUGCUGCUACACACCCAUGAAGCUGAUGCCUGGACAUAAAUCCCUACUGAUAAGUGUUUACGACAUUUCCAGCGUGGUGCCGACACUGCAUGGAAAUGCUGCAUGGAAAGUCCUUAUACAUCUAUCUUUGUGCAUUUAUGUGUGAGCACCUACUAUGAGUAAAACCUGGGCUGGUGGCUGGAGAAACAUGAAGAUGAGUAAGAGCCAAUUCCUGUUCUUGGGGAUUUAAUAAUAUAUUCAAGGGAAAAGACACAAAAUAACCAUUUCCAGGUAAACUCUGGUGGGGAGGGUGGGAGGAGAACCGUGGUUUGCUUUUGUGCCCAACACUUCACAUUCCUUACCUCUUUCUCCCCACCGAGACCUUGAGGAGCAGCCUGAGCCAGAGGACCAGCAUCCUCAUCUUCUCUCCACCUCUUACUAGGGGGGUGGCUUUGGGCCAGUUUCUUACAUUCUUUGGGCCACUUUAGUUUCCUUAUUGAAAAAUGGGGAUAAUAAUAGUGGCUACAUCUCAGUGUGAUUCUGAGGAAACCAGAAUUGUACAUGCAGAGCACAUGCACAGAACAGUGCCUGGCACAGUCAGUAAUUGAUCAAUGUGCGCUAUUGUUGUUGUGUAUAUUAGUUCUCCCCUGAUACAGAUGAGAGCUAUCUCUAACUCAGAGACUUGCCACAUCAUUAAAUUAGGAGUGAGAACUGAGCCUGGAUAAGGAAGAGGAACAGGAAUUCAACACAGUGAACACAGCAGGAAAGGCUUGUGCGAAGGCUCUGGGCUGGAGAUGUGUAAAGCAUGUCUGGAGAUGGGGAAGGUCCAUUGGGCCAGGAAACCACAGGCUCUGCUCUCCUGGAGCAGGAAGCACAGCGAAAUCACAGCCGAGCAGAGGAGGGCAAGGGAGAGGGCCGCCCCAGUCUGAGAGCUGCAGGGUCUGGCUGGAACUGCUCCCGGCCAGCGGACUUCACCCGGGCGCGGGGGCCGCACCUGCCGGGCGCGGCCUGCUCUAUGGCGCCCUCUGCUGUUAGUCCGCCCCAGGCUCCGCGCCGGCCUCUCCUGGGUCCGUGGGGCCUGCGGGCUGCGGGGAUCACCGAGACCCACAUUCCCGUGGCCAGCAGCCUUUCGCUCUGCUCAGAGGAGAGGCAGAAGGGCAUAUUGCUGUUUCCCAGUCGCUUUUUACACCUGCCUUCUUCGGAUAAACCCAAAAAUCUUCCUUCAGAGAAGACGGCCCGUAUUUCCCGUUAUUUGGGGGUGGAGGUGGGGCUAAGGGCGUCAUAGGGAGAGCCUUACUUUCAACAUUCUGCAUUAUGAAACCAAGGGAGACUUUUUUUCCCAACAAGUGUGAACAUUUUUUUUCAAGAGAAUUAAAUCGUUUAUUGAUUACACAU